GCUAAGCAGAUUUGGUCCUGGUUAGUACUUGGAUGGGAGACCGCCUGGGAAUACCAGGUGCUGUAAGCUU
rnacentral:rRNA from 1 species